GGGUCAUGAAUAUCGAGAAUCCAAAGAGCAGGAUAUUAUUUCUUGCUCCCAGCUUAUGAUGUUUUACGUCUUUACAAGAAAGGAUGAUUUUUAGGUACCCAUUUGCUUUUGGGUGCCUCAAAAAUAGAUCUACAUUGUUUAUCAUGUUGCAUAGACUUUAUCAUGGUUCCUUUAGGAACCCAAAUUAAUUUGUUCGGAC
rnacentral:lncRNA from 1 species